UUCAGUGGACUAUCCUAACGAUAGUAUUACGGCCGUUAGUGGAACCUACAAACAUAUUUUCACCUAUGAUACGACUCUCAUCACAUCGCUUUACUUCACAACCUCCAAAGGUUUCACCUCUCCAUUAUUCGGUAUCGACAGUGAAAAGAAGGGAACAGAAUUCGAGUUCAAAGGUGAAAAUGGAGGAAAGCUUCUUGGGUUCCACGGACGUGGCGGUAAUGCUAUUGAUGCAAUAGGAGCUUACUUCGACACCGGUUCACAAGGAGGUAAGGGUGGCGACGGUUCAAAAACUGAUGUCCCAGGGAAGAAGGGACCUCUUGGUGGUGACAAGGGAGAAGAGUUCAACGAUGUUGGUUUCGAAGGUGUGAAGAAAAUUACCGUAGGAGCCGAUCAAUACAGUGUAACUUACAUCAAGAUCGAAUACGUGAAAGAUGGAAAAGUCGAAAUCCGUGAGCACGGGACAAGUCGUGGGGAACUACAAGAGGUAAUAAAUGCGAAUUUUUGUCACACUAUUCAAUUGGUUCGUUACUAAUAUAGAUUUGUUUCUAACCAACAGUUUUCAGUGGACUAUCCUAACGAUAGUAUUACGGCCGUUAGUGGAACCUACAAACGUGUUUACACCUAUGAUACGACUCUCAUCACAUCACUUUACUUCACAACCUCCAAAGGUUUCACCUCUCCAUUAUUCGGUAUCAACAGUGAGAAGAAGGGAACCGAAUUCGAGUUCAAAGGUGAAAAUGGAGGAAAGCUUAUUGGUUUGCAUGGACGUGGUGGUAAUGCUAUUGAUGCAAUUGGAGCUUACUUUGACACCGGUUCACAAGGUGGUGACGGAGGC
rnacentral:lncRNA from 1 species